rnacentral:rRNA from 1 species
AAGACGAGGAUAACAGUUGGAAACGACUGCUAAGACUGGAUAGGAGACAAGAAGGCAUCUUCUUGUUUUUAAAAGACCUAGCAAUAGGUAUGCUUAGGGAGGAGCUUGCGUCACAUUAGUUAGUUGGUGGGGUAAAGGCCUACCAAGACUAUGAUGUGUAGCCGGGCUGAGAGGUUGAACGGCCACAUUGGGACUGAGACACGGCCCAAACUCCUACGGGAGGCAGCAGUAGGGAAUUUUCGGCAAUGGAGGAAACUCUGACCGAGCAACGCCGCGUGAACGAUGAAGUAUUUCGGUACGUAAAGUUCUUUUAUUAGGGAAGAAUAAAUGAUGGAAAAAUCAUUCUGACGGUACCUAAUGAAUAAGCCCCGGCUAACUAUGUGCCAGCAGCCGCGGUAAUACAUAGGGGGCAAGCGUUAUCCGGAAUUAUUGGGCGUAAAGGGUGCGUAGGCGGUUAAAUAAGUUUAUGGUCUAAGUGCAAUGCUCAACAUUGUGAUGCUAUAAAAACUGUUUAGCUAGAGUAAGAUAGAGGCAAGUGGAAUUCCAUGUGUAGUGGUAAAAUGCGUAAAUAUAUGGAGGAACACCAGUAGCGAAGGCGGCUUGCUGGGUCUUUACUGACGCUGAGGCACGAAAGCGUGGGGAGCAAACAGGAUUAGAUACCCUGGUAGUCCACGCCGUAAACGAUGAGUACUAAACGUUGGGUAAAACCAGUGUUGAAGUUAACACAUUAAGUACUCCGCCUGAGUAGUACGUACGCAAGUAUGAAACUUAAAGGAAUUGACGGGACUCCGCACAAGCGGUGGAUCAUGUUGUUUAAUUCGAAGGUACCCGAAAAACCUCACCAGGUCUUGACAUGCUUCUGCAAAGCUGUAGAAACACAGUGGAGGUUAUCAGUUGCACAGGUGGUGCAUGGUUGUCGUCAGCUCGUGUCGUGAGAUGUUGGGUUAAGUCCCGCAACGAGCGCAACCCUUAUUGUUAGUUACCAGCACGUAAUGGUGGGGACUUUAGCAAGACUGCCAGUGAUAAAUUGGAGGAAGGUGGGGACGACGUCAAAUCAUCAUGCCCCUCAUGACCUGGGCUACAAACGUGAUACAAUGGCUGUUACAAAGGGUAGCUGAAGCGCAAGUUUUUGGCGAAUCUCAAAAAAACAGUCUCAGUUCGGAUUGAAGUCUGCAACUCGACUUCAUGAAGUUGGAAUCGCUAGUAAUCGCGAAUCAGCAUGUCGCGGUGAAUACGUUCUCGGGGUUUGUACACACCGCCCGUCAAACCACGAAAGUUGGUAAUACCCAAAGCCGGUGGCCUAACUUCGCAAGAAGAGGGAACCGUCUAAGGUAGGGUCGAUGAUUGGGGUUAAGUCGUAACAAGGUAUCCCUACCGGAAGGUGGGGAUGGAUCACCUCCUUUC